ACUCAAAUGAAUAGACGGGGGCUCACACAAGCGGUGGAGGAUGUGGCUUAAUUCGAGGCUACGCGAAGAACCUUAUCCUAGUCUUGACAUGCACGGAUCAACCCGGUGAAAGCCGGGCCACGCCUUCGGGUGGAACGUGCACAGGUGCUGCAUGGCUGUCGUCAGCUCGUGUCGUGAGAUGUCGGGUUAAGUCCCUUAACGAGCGAAACCCUUGUCGCUAGUUGCCAGCGAGUCAUGUCGGGGACUCUAGCGAGACCGCCGGCGUUAAGCCGGAGGAAGGUGGGGAUGACGUCAAGUCCUCAUGGCCUUUAUGACUAGGGCUGCACACGUCCUACAAUGCUGCGCACAAAGGGAUGCAAAAUCGUGAGAUCGAGCAAAUCCCAGAAAACGCUGCUCAGUUCGGAUUGCAGGCUGCAACUCGCCUGCAUGAAGCUGGAAUCGCUAGUAAUCGUAGGUCAGCAUACUACGGUGAAUAUGUUCCUGAGCCUUGUACACACCGCCCGU
rnacentral:rRNA from 1 species